GUUGCGUUCGUUAUAGCAUUCUCAAUUUUAUAGGUAAAACCGUUCGUUAUAGGAAUAUUCGUAGUAGGAUCCGUUCGUUAUAGCAUACCCCACUGUAUGUCUAUUUCACCUUUUUUCAUACAUUGAGAAUCUUUGCAUCAUUUAACAAGGUAAUUGGUAUUUUUGUUUUGUUUUUCCAAGUACAGGUAGUGAUUAUUUUUUUCCCCAAGGAAUUAUUAUUUUUUUUAAGUAGUGAUUUUGUUUUAUAAGUAAUGGUCACUGUGUGGAAAUUCAGCCUAAUAGCCAUGCAUAGCUAAACUGGAUCACAAUGUACCUUGGGACUUUUGGCAAAUAAAUGCUUCAUGGUUUCGAGAAUAGUGUAGGAGAGGAGAGGCCAUCAGGGGUUGUGUGACUGUUGAGAACCACUACUACUUUAUGAUAUCUAAUUUUGUACUGUACUCUUCUGUAUUGUAUAUGUGAGAUUCAUCUAUAUGCACAGUAAAGGAUCUCCCACAUUUAUACUGUACUGGUAACCUCUUGUGUGGCUUCUCAUCCGAUGAAGAUCGAAUUAAGGAAACUUUAUUCUCAUGAUAUUUGUGAGAUAUUGUAGUUGUUUUAUGCAAAUUCUCGAUUAUUAAUUUUUCUUGUAAUGGUAAAGAUGAAUGUAAUUUUUCCCAUAUGUGUAGAGUAUUUUAUUUCUUUAUUUUUUAUCGUCUCUUUACAAAGUUAUUUUCAGGCUCUUAUUUUUUAUGUUCUGUAAUUUUGCACUAAUAUGAUCCAGGGUAAUUAAGUCUUGAUUGUGUGAGUUACCAGUGAGUGACCAGGUUUUCCAGGUAAGAUUUAACCCCUGGCUGUUUGUAUGUCAUAAUUUUAAGUUUCAGUUAAGAUUUUAUUUUAUUAAGAACUCAAGACACUGUAAUAAUUUAAUAAAUUGUUUUAAAAUUUAUGUUAUGAGAGUGGUGUCAUAUUUUAAAAAUGUAUUGGGAAAUUUUUGAUGAAAUAAUUGAAGUAUGUUGAGAGAUAGAGCUUUACAAAAUAGUCCAGAGGGAGAAAGAAUUGAGUAUUAAAAACAGAAAGAAAAUCAAAAGCAAUGCUAAGUAAUAAGUUUUGUAAGGCAUUGUGUUUUGAUGAAAUAAUGGGAUCUGUGUCAAGGUGUUAACUGAUUCCUUGUAAAGAUGUGAAGAGUAUCAGUGAUGGAAAUAGGUUUUAGGAACUAGCUUGGAGGAUGAGGGAAGGAAAAAAGCAAACAUGAAUAGGUGUGAAAAAGUCUACAUUUUUAGUUUGAUUUUUUUUUUUUUUUUUUAGAAAAGAUACCACAUUAUACUCUAUAUGUACAAAGACAAUUAAUUGACAUCCCUCAAUUUAAUAAUACUGUAGUUAAUAAUUAUUCUUUAGUGAGCAAAUACAGUACAGUGUAACAGGAACUUAAGUGUACUGUAUUGUAUAUUUGUACCCUAUUUCUAUCCCUAGAGGGCAAAGGGAGGAUGUCCAAAGAGAGGGAUUGAGUCACAAGAAAAAAUAAAUAGAACUUUCAAUAGGGAGAUGAGGAUUGUGAUGGAUAGGUAUAUGAGCCAGUUUGUAUAUUAUAGCACUAAGUCAUGGGGUAAAAACACGUAGAUAUCAGUGGCUGGAAGUGAUUCAUUAAUUAGGUGUAUUUUUCUUAUAACUUGUAAGAGAAAACAGUUACCAGUUAAGGUAAAAAGCAGAGAGUCAUGACAUCAUGUCUGUAGGUACACAGAGUUACUUGUGGCCGGUAGGUGAGGUGGCUGUUAUAGAUUCAGUCCAAUUAGUUCAAGUUAUAACUCCAUGUUUGGGUGACUCUCUAGUACUCUGAAAUUAUACCUUAGAGAUAUUAUGCCUUAAUAUCCAUACACUUUUAAAAUACAGUAUAGUACCAUAUAUAUACUACUGUACUGGACUGUAUAUCAGAAUUUAGUUUGUCAUUCAAGGUUCCACUGUGAUAUGGUGUUGAGUGUGUCCAUUAACCCCACCCGGCCACCUGGUCUUACUGUACUGCCAUGCAUAUAAGUACAUCAUGUAGCAAUUACCGUAAUUAUCUGUACGUAUAGUAUGACUGCUGUUUAACCCAGCACUGUAGACACUGCUGUUUAACCCAGCACUGUAGACACUGCUCUUUAACCCAGCACUGUAGACACCGCUGUUUAACCCAGUACUGUAGACACCAAAUAGUAAAAGUGUUGCUAACAUUAUUAUUAUGAGAUUACAGUAUGUUGAUCACUGCUGUAAAUAUCUAUAAACAUACAGUACUUAAAUCAUUCGACUUUUUUGUAAUAUAAAGUAAUGACAUAUAACUUAUUAUAAGCCUUCUAAGUUUCUCCAGGGCUGUAAUUUAACCUAGAACAUUUUUGCCAGAGUAUUGAGCUGCUUCACGUUCUCUGAAUGUGAGCACCGCUACUGACCUGUGUAGGCAUGACUCGAGCAUCUGAGGCAUGAUGACUUUUCUGAAGAUUCUUUUGAGUCUCCUGAGGAAUCUUUGAGUAUCCUGAGGAAUCUUUGAGUCUCUUAAGGAUCGUUUAGACUUAAUUCUUCAAGAGACACUGGAUUUUCAAUUAGACUUUGGUCACCCUGAUGUCCUGCAUAACACUGUCGAGGUUGUAGGGACAGAAAUUGUGGAGUUUGUUCGACAAUUUUCUUUCUUCCCGCUGUAACAAACAUGAAAGUAGAGGUAAACUCCCUUAGUCGGGUGCAAUGUCAAUCUGGUAUAUUAGAAGUUGGGGCAUUUAAUUUUUGUGAUAUAAGUUAAUGUACACCUGCCUCCUCUUCCUCCUAUGAUCUGGUUGACUUCAGACGCAUGAGACUGUGAGGGAUGGCCGUGUCAUAACAUAAGGAUUGGCCAUAAAAUCCCACUUUAUAACAGAGCCCAUAGUGAAUUGGGUACCUUUCCUCCUUCAACAGGGUAGCAUGGAAGUUAGCUAGAACUGGAGGGAUUGAGUGUGUAAUCUAGUUGACAGGCUCAGUGUGCAGGUUUUGUUGUGACGUCACGACUCUUUACUUUAUACCUUGAAUGAUGACUGAUGUUUAUAUAGAGUAUAAUAUCAGGGACAUAGUUAUGAAUCUAAAAUAUAAAUAAUUGAUAAGUUACUCCUAGCCUCCAGUGUCUAAGGGUGGAGUUAGGUUUUCAACUUAUGAACUUACUGCUGUGAUAUGUGAGUCAGUCCAGGCUAAGUCAGAAAAUGGGAUUUCAGGUACAGUAUAUAUUUUUUUAAUCUUGUGUGGUAAUUUAAGAAUUCUUUUAGUUUUUCACAUUAGGGAGAAUUUGUUUAUGUAAAAUAAGUUAUAUAAAUAGGAAUAUUUAAACCCGGCUUGCAAAAGUAAAUAUUCUUAUUAAAAAAAUUAAAGAAAUUUCAAAAAGUUAAUGUUUGCACUAUCAUCUCCUUAUCAUUGUCAACAUCAUCAUCAUAUUCAUCUUUUUUCAGCAUCAACAAAUUUUAGUUACCACUGUCACCAUCAUGUACAGUGUCUCCGUGGAGUAUACUGUACAUUGAUAUUUCUUUAUUGUUUUUGGUAGCAGCUAUCUCCACGUGGGCUUCAGAUGCUAGAUUCUUCAGCGCGUCUUAAAACAUUUGCUGAAAGAGUUGACGUGACCAGCACAAAAAAGGAAAUGGGUAUCAAAUGCCUUCCUUGAUAUUUAUGUUUACAGUUUUUAAUUAUCGACUUUAUACUCGUGGAAAUUAUACACAAGAAACUAAAGUAAAUUUCUUUAUAACUCACUCAUGACAAUUGAAAGAAAGUGAAUUAAGUUUUGUUGCUGUGUGAAUCUUUAUUUUUUUACAUUGGUGAAAUUAGUCGAUUCAUUUUAAUGUACUGUACUAAGGUUUUUUUCUCCGUUCACUUCCCCUGUAACAUGUUCACACUAUCUUUACAUACAGUACUGUGCUGUUGUUUCAUGUGUGUGUGUCUCUCUCAGCAUUGUUUUAUUUCUCACAUUUUCCUCAACUUACAUGUUUACUUUAUCAAAUUUCUUGUUUUUUUAAGACAUUUUAUAAUAAGUUUACUGAAUUGAUUUUGAUACCGGGUAUCUCUCGUUUUAUUCCCACAUUUUCCAAGUGGACAAAAUCUUAAUAGUAGGCCAUUGUUUUUUGUUUGUUUUGUUACGGUACACAGGACGUGGAAUAUGAACUUCCACUCAAUCAGUACAAGUGGUGUUUCUCACUAGCUGGAUCUUGGAUGAAUGAGUUUCUUGUUUUUAAUAUAUCUGAUCACUUGAUACUUGUACUUAAGAGUUUAGUUAGUCCAGGUGUAAGUAGUGAAGGGAGUUGUAGAUGAAGGUAGAGAUGGAUAUAGUAAUUAAGGCAGUUUGGGUGGAGGAAUGCUGAAAGGUUUGUGUACGGGCAUGACAGUUUACCGCACAAAGUGAAUGAGAUAUUUAAUUAAUCUUGUUUAUGCCAUCAUUUAUAUUUUAUGGCCUAUAGAUAAUUCAAUAAAUGAAAUGCAAGUUCACCCAUCAGAUUCACCCACUGUCACAGACUCUCUCAUCCAAAGGGCUACAGGUAUAAGUAUUUUGAGCCAGGGUUAUUGUCCAUUCAGAUUAGUCCAUAUUUUGUAAACAGUCACUCUCCCAGUUGAACCAGUGUUUAUAAGGAAGUUAGUAGGAACACCUAGAUAAAUUCUGAACUAGUUUACUUGGCUUGGAUCUCUCAGAAGUUAAUUUAGUUCACAUAAUAUUUUUUCCUGCCUGGACACUCUGACAAUACUGUAUAUGUCUGUGUUCCACUGCAUUCCUCAUGAAAAUCAAACCAAGAAAUGUUGGGGAGUUUUUAGUCAAAGUAUGGCAGCUUUUUUAUUUGGAAUUCUUGUGUUAAUAUGUCAAUGAUUUGGUUCGUUGUAUUCUUUUGCUAACAUUUCAACCACUGUACAUAAUUUUAAUCAUUAAAACCUUUUUUAUUUUUGUAUAAUACAGUAUACAAAUUCUUUUAUUGAAUAUUUCUAAAGAAAAAUUGAUGAUAUUUGGUGAACAUACAAAUAUUUACCAUGCUGUUUUAUGUUAGAGCUAAUUCUUUAUUAUUUGCAAAUUUAGGCUUUGCGUUUUAAUUAUUUAUGUUAACCUGCAUUUAGCAUGAAUGGUCGAGGUUGAUAGUUUAACAUAAAUGGUCGAGGUUGAGAGUUUAACAUGAAUGGUCAAGGUCAAGAGUUUAGCAUGAAUGGUCGAGGUCGAGAGUUUAGCAUGAAUGGUCAAGGUCAAGAGUUUAGCAUGAAUGGUCAAGGAUGAGAGUUUAGCAUGAAUGGUCGAGGUCAAGAGUUCAGGAUGAAUGGUCAAGGUUGAGAGUUUAGCAUGAAUGGUCGAGGUCAAGUGUUUAGCAUGAAUGGUCGAGGUCAAGAGUUUAGCAUGAAUGGUCAAGGAUGAGAGUUUAGCAUGAAUGGUCGAGGUCAAGUGUUUAGCAUGAAUGAUCAAGGUUGAGAGUUUAGCAUGAAUGGUCGAGGUCAAGAGUUUAGCAUGAAUGGUCAAGGAUGAGAGUUUAGCAUGAAUGAUCAAGGUUGAGAGUUUAGCAUGAAUGGUCGAGGUCAAGAGUUUAGCAUGAAUGGUCAAGGUUGAGAGUUUAGCAUGAAUGGUCGAGGUCAAGAGUUUAGCAUGAAUGGUCAAGGUUGAGAGUUUAGCAUGAAUGGUCAAGGUUGAGAGUUUAGCAUGAAUGGUCAAGGUUGAGAGUUUAGCAUGAAUGGUCAAGGUUGAGAGUUUAGCAUGAAUGGUCAAGGUUGAGAGUUCAGCAUGAAUGGUCAAGGUUGAGAGUUAGCAUGAAUGGUCAAGGUUGAGAGUUAGCAUGAAUGGUCAAGGUUGAGAGUUUAGCAUGAAUGGUCAAGGUUGAGAGUUUAGCAUGAAUGGUCAAGGUCAAGAGUUUAGCAUGAAUGGUCGAGGUCAAGAGUUUAGCAUGAAUGGUCGAGGUCAAGAGUUUAGCAUGAAUGGUGAGGUCAAGAGUUUAGCAUGAAUGGUCAAGGUUGAGAGUUUAGCAUGAAUGGUGAGGUCAAGAGUUUAGCAUGAAUGGUCAAGGUCAAGAGUUUAGCAUGAAUGGUCGUCAAGAGUUUAGCAUGAAUGGUCGAGGUUGAGAGUUUAGCAUGAAUGGUCGAAGUCAAGAGUUUAGCAUGAAUGGUCGAGGUCAAGAGUAUAGCAUGAAUGGUCGAGGUCAAGAGUUUAGCAUGAAUGGUCGAAGUCAAGAGUUUAGCAUGAAUGGUCGAGGUCAAGAGUUUAGCAUGAAUGGUCAAGGAUGAGAGUUUAGCAUGAAUGGACAAGGUUGAGAGUUUAGCAUGAAUGGUCAAGGUCAAGAGUUUAGCAUGAAUGGUCAAGGUUGAGAGUUUAGCAUGAAUGGUCGAGGUCAAGAGUUUAGCAUGAAUGGUCAAGGUUGAGAGUUUAGCAUGAAUGGUCGAAGUCAAGAGUUUAGCAUGAAUGGUCGAGGUCAAGAGUUUAGCAUGAAUGGUCGAGGUCAAGAGUUUAGCAUGAAUGGUCAAGGUCAAGAGUUUAGCAUGAAUGGUCGAAGUCAAGAGUUUAGCAUGAAUGGUCGAGGUUGAGAGUUUAGCAUGAAUGGUCAAGGUUGAGAGUUUAGCAUGAAUGGUCGAGGUUGAGAGUUUAGCAUGAAUGGUCAAGUUUGAGAGUUUAGCAUGAAUGGUUGAGGUCAAGAACAUUGCGACUGAAAAACAAAAGAAACGGGAGUAAAACCGUGACAAAAACCUAAUUAUUAGAUAGUAAUAUUAUACACAUCAUGGCAGCAGUCAUAUAAAUGUUAUUGUCGAGAUUAUAUAACAUAAGGGAAAAGUUCAGUGAUGUGCUGUUUUACUAAGGUUGGGGGAGCAAUAAGCGAGAUACAGUACUACAGGGGUAACAGUCGGACAGUUUACGCCGUGCAAUAAAUCAAUUAAUUCUUCAUCUCGUGACUUCAGAAUGUCUCACUUUACUCAUUAUUUCCUCUUGCCAUAUUCAGUACAAAACCUUCGACUGAUCGGAAGUUAUAUAUUUGUCACAGAAAUACGUUUGUUUCUUUAAGGAAAUUUAUUUAUGUUUUUUACUUUGUUAAAAUGUUUAUAUUGUAUUAUUAAAGAGAUUUAUUUGAUUUUGUUUUAAUUUUAUGAUUUUGUGAUAUAGUUUUGGAGCAUUUAUUAGUUAUUGUAUUUUUUUAGUAGUUAUUUCUUCCCGGGAGUCAUUUACCUGAUGUCUUAUGUGUGUUGGGAGUCUUAGUAUUUUUUUAAUACAGGAUUUAUUAUUAAUUUUAGUGAUAAAUAAGAUCAAAGGAAUAUUUAUGAAUUGGAGUAAAUAUUUGUGUUUGUUUCUUUAUAGUUCAUGUGAAGUGAGUUGUAUUUUUGUUUUAUUUUUAUUAUAUAUGUUUGUGUACUUUAUUGAAUAAGUUUUUUAUCUGUUCUAAAAUGUGAUAAGAUGCUCACGAACAAGUUUAACUGAGAUAGAUGCACUUGUUAAUAAAACCUGUAUUUGAUUAUUAUUUUAGUUGGCUUACUAAAGGCUGCUAAGGUUUGAUGGUAAAAUUGAAUAAGAAAAUUUGGUACAGUAUUAUAACGGAGAUGAUGAAUCACUUAUCCAAUGAUUAUUGCAUUGCAAUUACAUAUUUGCUUUAUUAAAAAUUAUUAAUAAAAUAUAAGCUUGAAA